rnacentral:rRNA from 1 species
CUUGUUGGUGGGGUGAUGGCCUACCAAGGCUGCGACGGGUAGCCGGCCUGAGAGGGUGUCCGGCCACACUGGGACUGAGAUACGGCCCAGACUCCUACGGGAGGCAGCAGUGGGGAAUAUUGCACAAUGGGCGCAAGCCUGAUGCAGCGACGCCGCGUGGGGGAUGACGGCCUUCGGGUUGUAAACCUCUUUCACCAUCGACGAAGCCGUAAGGUGACGGUAGGUGGAGAAGAAGCACCGGCCAACUACGUGCCAGCAGCCGCGGUAAUACGUAGGGUGCGAGCGUUGUCCGGAAUUACUGGGCGUAAAGAGCUCGUAGGUGGUUUGUCGCGUUGUUCGUGAAAUGCCACAGCUUAACUGUGGGCGUGCGGGCGAUACGGGCAGACUGGAGUACUGCAGGGGAGACUGGAAUUCCUGGUGUAGCGGUGGAAUGCGCAGAUAUCAGGAGGAACACCGGUGGCGAAGGCGGGUCUCUGGGCAGUAACUGACGCUGAGGAGCGAAAGCGUGGGGAGCGAACAGGAUUAGAUACCCUGGUAGUCCACGCCGUAAACGGUGGGUACUAGGUGUGGGUUUCCUUCCUUGGGAUCCGUGCCGUAGCUAACGCAUUAAGUACCCCGCCUGGGGAGUACGGCCGCAAGGCUAAAACUCAAAGGAAUUGACG